GAUAAACGCUGGCGGCGUGCAUUAGACAUGCAAGUCGAACGAACGACCUCGGGCUUGCCCGGGGAAGUUAGUGGCGAACGGCUGAGUAACGCGUAGGUGACCUGCCCUAGAGUGGGGAAUAACUGCCCGAAAGGGUGGCUAAUACCGCAUAUGGUCAUGAGUUCAUUCUCAUGUCCAAAGCCUUCGGGCGCUCUUGGAGGGGCCUGCGUUCGAUUAGCUCGUUGGUGAGGUAACGGCUCACCAAGGCGACGAUCGAUAGGUGGUCUGAGAGGAUGAUCACCCAGACUGGGACUGAGACACGGCCCAGACAACUACGGUUGGCAGCAGUCGGGAAUUUUGCUCAAUGGGGGAAACCCUGAAGCAGCAACGCCGCGUGAGGGAUGAAGGCCUUCGGGUUGUAAACCUCUUUUCUUAGGGACGAUAAUGACGGUACCUGAGGAAUAAGCCACGGCUAACUACG
rnacentral:rRNA from 1 species